rnacentral:sRNA from 1 species
CCCUGCCCCUCUGACCUGUCAGUCCUUGGUUCCCCCAAGUGUAGGUACCUGCCAGUGGGCCAAGCCCUGAGCUUGGUCAAGGGUAGGUGUGCCAGUGAAGACCUGGCCUCUGUUCCCUGCCAACCCCCAGAGGUCCCCAGCCUCACUCCCUUCCCCUCCCUGCCUAGCCUCUAUUCCUCAAAAGGAAUCCUGUUCCAGGACAGUCUGUCCUGCUCCCCUGUGACCCCUCUAAGUGGUGCUCCCCCAACCUGUGGGCAGGCUCUGUGCCCGCCUUCUUGAGGGUGUGGGCAGGGCAGGGUGGGCUGGUAGGCCAUCAGGGCCCUCAUGCAGCCCCUGCUCGGGUGGGCGGCCAGUUCCCCUGGGUCCUGCAGGACUACGUGUCCCCAGCCCUGGACCUCAGCAACCCAGCCGUCUUCCGGGACCUGUCUAAGCCCAUCGGUGUGGUGAACCCCAAGCAUGCCCAGCUCGUGAGGGAGAAGUAUGAAAGCUUUGAGGACCCAGCGGGGACCAUUGACAAGUUCCACUAUGGCACCCACUACUCCAAUGCAGCAGGCGUGAUGCACUACCUCAUCCGUGUGGAGCCCUUCACCUCCCUGCACGUCCAGCUGCAGAGUGGCCGCUUUGACUGCUCCGACCGGCAGUUCCACUCGGUGGCGGCAGCCUGGCAGGCACGCCUGGAGAGCCCUGCCGAUGUGAAGGAGCUCAUCCCAGAAUUCUUCUACUUUCCUGACUUCCUGGAGAACCAGAACGGUUUUGACCUGGGCUGUCUCCAGCUGACCAACGAGAAGGUGGGCGAUGUGGUGCUGCCCCCGUGGGCCAGCUCUCCUGAGGACUUCAUCCAGCAGCACCGCCAGGCUCUGGAGUCGGAGUAUGUGUCUGCACACCUACACGAGUGGAUCGACCUCAUCUUUGGCUACAAGCAGCGGGGGCCAGCCGCCGAGGAGGCCCUCAAUGUCUUCUAUUACUGCACCUAUGAGGGGGCUGUAGACCUGGACCAUGUGACAGAUGAGCGGGAACGGAAGGCUCUGGAAGGCAUUAUCAGCAACUUCGGGCAGACUCCCUGUCAGCUGCUGAAG